AAAUAAAAAAAAAUGAAUAAUAAAUUAAACUUAAUUUUAUCUAAAUUAGUAGGCUUUACUAUAUUAUUAUUUAUGAAUUAUAUGCAAUACUUAAAAUAUGUAAAAUAUAUGAUUUUUAAUAAUGUUUAUGAAAUGAAGCAGACUGCACUGAACAGUAGUGAGAACUGUAUGUUGCCCGCAAGCUAUAAAAUUGACAUGCCUACUUUAAUGUUUUGUGAUUUAUAUGCAGUAUCUGGUUUUAUGAAUUCUAUCAGCAUAAUAAUUCAGUUUACACAAGAUUAAGGAUAAACAACCAAAUUGUCAUUGCUUUCCUAAAUAUUGUUAUUAGUUUGGUAUUAUAUUUUAAAUAAAAUGAAUAUUUGCAUAAAAAUCUCCCUAUCAACAAACUUCUUAAUUGGUCUUGAGUAGACAGAAAUGUAC
rnacentral:lncRNA from 1 species